UAGUCGAACACUUCCCAAGCGUUUAGGACUGCGUGAGGUAUCGGCGGAUUAUGUGAGCAGAUCCCAGUAAGGUGGCCUUCUGCAGCUGUCCAAUGGAGCGCCAAUUGUUUUUAAGUGCUUGCCUAGGUCUUUAGGCACAGCACCCAGUGUGCCGAGUACCACUGGAAUCACCUGCACUGGUUUAUGCCAGAGUCUCUGCAGUUCAAUUCUCAAGUCCUGAUAUCUGGCAUUUCAUUAUGUUACUCAACUAGGUAACAUCGUAAGUGCUAGGAAGUUUCUAUGAGAGCUGUGGCGGCACAGCGAUUAGAAUGCAGUAUUGCAGGAUAUCUCUGCCCACAACCUGGAGUUUGAUCCUGAUGGGGCUCAAGGUUGACUCAGCCUUCCAAGAAGGACACGUGGUGAAAGGGGAGCUGCCUGUCGAGCCUAGCAACCUGCUCGACAUCGCUAACGCGUGCUGAAAGCAUCGAGGGACAUAUACAUACUUGGUGGUGGUGGCACUGGGUGAAGGCAGCCGUAUGCGGGGUGUGGGGUGGUGGUAUCGGGUGCGACGGGAUUAGGGCCAUUCCGGAGGACACAGCGGCAGCACCUUCCAGAACACGCUGAAGACCAAUUACGCCCCUAGAAGAGGGGCGUGGUAAUAAACAAGGGCGCGAUCUACGCCCCUAAAAGAGGGGCGUGGUAACAAACAAGGGCGUGGUCCUAAUGAGUUAAUGGAAAGAUGGGCUAUAUAAAUGCCCCAUUCUUGGUGUAAUGUAGCGCCGAUUUCAAUCGUGUUUACGAAUCACAGUGUGUAGCCGGAUGCGGAUGCAAAGAAACCAGCAUGCCAAAAGAGCUGAAUAAGGCUGUAGCUGUGUUUUGAUUGCAUCUCGCACGGCAUUCCUGAGAAAUGAAAUAAAAUAAUAAAACGAAAUAAUAA